rnacentral:tRNA from 2 species
AUUUAAGUAGCUUAUAUUUAGAGUUUAAUAUUGAAGAUAUUAAGGAAAUAGUCAUAUUCUUAAAUA